UGAAAAUUCUCGUAACAAAAGCCUGUAUUUUUGGGCUAUGUUGACUCGAAUAAAGCAAAAAAUUUGAUAGAUUGCUUAUUGAAAAUCAAUAAGCGAAUUCUUCAAACAG
ensembl:ncRNA R11H6.8 ncRNA